UUGGUUGAUCCUGCCGGAGGUCACUGCUAUUGGGAUUCGACUAAGCCAUGCGAGUCGAGAGGGUUCGGCCCUCGGCAGACGGCUCAGUAACACGUGGAUAAUCUGCCCUAAGGAGGAGGAUAACCUCGGGAAACUGAGAAUAAUACUCCAUAGGUCUAGAAGGCUGGAAUGCAUCUAGACCCAAAACUCUGGUGCCUUAGGAUGAGUCCGCGGACUAUCAGGUUGUAGUCAGGGUAAUGACCUGACUAGCCUACGACGGAUAUGGGUUGUGAGAGCAAUAACCCAGAGACGAUAUCUGAGACACGAUAUCGGGCCCUACGGGGCGCAGCAGGCGCGAAAACUUCACAAUGUGCGAAAGCACGAUGAGGGGAUCCCAAGUGCUGGCUCGUAAGAGUCAGCUGUUUCUCUGUCUAAAAAACAGAGAGAGUAAGGGCUGGGUAAGACGGGUGCCAGCCGCCGCGGUAAUACCUGCAGCUCAAGUGGUGACCACUAUUAUUGGACCUAAAACGUCCGUAGCCGGUUUGGUAAAUGCCUGGGUAAAUCGUGUAGCUUAACUAUACGGCUUCCGGGUAGACUGUUGAACUUGAGACC
rnacentral:rRNA from 1 species